AAAUCUGUCUACAAGCCUCUAAGAAUAUAAAAUUUUCAUAAAAGGACGGGACAGAGUCCCUCCAUACCAAACAAUACACGUCUAAAUCAUACUAACCAAACAAGCAACUCUGAAUCAAAUGGGGUGCACCGACAUCAUCCGCUGAGCUUAUAGCCUACUUGGAGGGCUCUCAACCUAUAUAUCGAGACUUGCAGGCAUGAAACACAGCGUCCCUAGAAAAAAGAGACGUCAGUAUGAAUAAUGUACCGAGUAUGUAAGGCACAUAAAUAAGUACAUAACAGACAUGGAAUAAAUAUAGAGUAAAUGACUCAACCUAUAAGUUUGGAUAACUUUGUAAAUCAUGAAAUAAAUAUAGUGUCAUGUAUAUGCGUCUCAAUGUCAUAUCGUGGAUAGAUAUAUGCUUUAUAACAUCAUCAGGUCUCUGAGGGCAUCCCAUCAUAUCGUCUCGGCCACUCUAGGCAAAAUCAUCAACGUAUACCAGCUGAUCAGGUGGUGGUGCGUAUAUAACGUCAUAAUCUUUCCCAUAUCCUAUAUAAAUAUGUAUAUNNNNNNNNNNNNNNNNNNNNNNNNNNNNNNNNNNNNNNNNNNNNNNNNNNNNNNNNNNNNNNNNNNNNNNNNNNNNNNNNNNNNNNNNNNNNNNNNNNNNNNNNNNNNNNNNNNNNNNNNNNNNNNNNNNNNNNNNNNNNNNNNNNNNNNNNNNNNNNNNNNNNNNNNNNNNNNNAGAUACGUUAAUAAAAUCUCUCGGUACGUCAUAAGACCAUUAUGCCUUUGAUUAAUACCAUAAAAUAAACUUUACCAACUUACAUAUUUUUGAGACCCAUGAACAGAUGAUAGAAUAAUAUGAUACAUGGGGAAUCAAGAGCAUAGGACCUCUAGUAUGUCUAUGAAUAGAGUCAUUUGUGGAAGUUAUGCAUUUGCUCGUUUCGCUUGUAUUGUAUGAAUCAUGCCAAAAUGAAAGAAGAGAUUGCUUUAACAUACAUGAACCUCGAUUCCAUAUAUAAACAUGUGAGUUCUCGCUUUCACCGGCAACGAAACCUUGAUCUAGUCCUCCAAAGAAAGACCUCACAACGAAACGAGAACGUUUAUGCCCCUUAUAUUUGGUUAUGAGUUUUAUUGUUCCCUGUAUAUCCCAAAGAUGGAUUUCUUGGUUCCAAAGACUAACCAAUACAUACUUAUUGUCCAUGGACAAUACAAACGAGGUUAUUUCUUGACCCUCUUGAAUUACAUUCUAUGUUCUUGAUCCCCAUUCAAAUAAUACUAUCGUAUUUUCUUUACAAAAAGGGACAACAUGCUUCCCAUCACUUGUUGUUCCCAAGUCCGAUAUUCAAAUAGUCCUGUUGCCUUUCUAACCUUCCUUUAAAGGUGCUACCAAGACUCAGAACAUGAUUAGUCACCUUAGGAUUAAUUAAAGCUCAACACAUGUGCUAUGUUUUUUGAGUUUAGUCUUUAUCCAAAACUUCAAUUACUCCACCACUAAUUAUUAACUAACUAGGUAAUGUCCCGAUUACCCAGUAAUUAACCGAAUACCUACAUAAUUAAGAAUUAUUUCCACUUACUUAAAAUACUAUUCAUUUUUCACAUACCUUAAACACCUUACUAUCAUGGUCAUGUGAUACCUUGUAUGACAUUAGUCCAUAAAUACCGAGUAUUUUAGCUCAGGUCAUAUUUUAUCCCAAAAUGCCAAACUUGGACGAAAAUUCACUUUCUUUGACUUGCUUCCCCUCUCACCUUCACGAAUUUACUCAACAUUUGUUUGAAAUAGCAUAAUGCUUAUAAUCUCAAAAUAAUCCCAUUCCCAAACUUACGUCGAUUAACUUACAGCGAAAAUUUAACAUACGAAAAUGCAGGAUGUAAUAAUGAUGUUAUGAACGCAUAUACCAUGCAUUUUAUGACAUUUUAUAGGCAUAUGCAUGACAUUAAAAGUAUUAAAUGAUUCACAAGGCUAUUCAGACUGACAUGUCGAGUCUUUUACUCCAUGUUUCUCUCAUGUUUAUUAUUUACUGAUUUUUAUUCCUUACAUACUUGGUCCAUUAUUUGUAUUGACAUCCCUUUUGCCUGGGGAUGCUGCGUUUCUUGCCCGUAGGUCCCGAUAGAUAGGUUGAGAUUCCUCCAAGUAGGCUAUCAGCUCAGUGGAAGAUGUUGGUGCGCUCCAUUUUCUCCGGAGUUGCUUAUUUGGUUAGUAUGAUUUAGAUAUGUAUUGAUUGGUAUGUCGGGGCAUGUCCCGUCUUUAUGAUGUUUAUGUACUCUUAGAUGGUUGUACACAUAUGCCAUGUAUAUGAAUGAUUGUAUGGCCUUGUCGGCCUAUGUUUAGUGUACGAGUGAUUAUUUUUGCCUUAUAGGCCCGUACGUCAUAUGUAUAAGUCAGUAUAUCAGGUUGGGUCAUUUUAUGUCAAGUGUUCUGUCAUGUUUUAUUCUUGUUACUUCAUAUGGCCCUUCUGGCCCAUUUACCCAUGCUGAUGUAUUGAGAAAGAUACGUUACGAUGGUACUCGGUUGAGUAAGGGCACCAGGUGCCCGUCGCGGACCAUCGGUUUGGGUCAUGACAAAAGUAGUAUCAGAGUAGUUCUAUCCUAGGAAGUCUACAAGCCGUGUCUAGUAGAGUCUUGUUUAUGGGUGUGUUGUGCACCACACUUAUAAGCAGGAGGCUACAGGGCAUUUAGGACUAUCACUCUUUCUUAUUACUCUAGAUCAUGUGUUAGAGCUCAGUUGAAAGAACUCACCUUCCUAACUCUAUCUUAUUCAUAAUACGACGAUGCCUAUAUCUAGGAAGAUGGUUGGUAAGUGAUUGAAUAUGGUUGUGGAAGAAUUGAGUCAGAGGAACUCGAUUUUGCAUCAUUCUUAUGAUGAGUAAAUGUAAAGUCCCCAGCAGAACAUAUGGAUACUAAGACGUGUAAGCUUCUUGAUAAGGAUCCCUAAGGCAAGAAUAUCUAUCCACUCUUACAGUAAAAAGGAAAAGAGAUUCAAAAUAUAGAUACAUAUUUCAACAAGUAAAAGUAGCAAGGUAAGAAGGGUACGAAGUACCCAGUUAAUGAAGAUUAACAAUACUUACGAUUCAAGCAGAGAAAUAUAAGUAUUUCGAGUUAUAUUCAAUUGUAACAGAGGUAUGUACAAUUGGCCACACCCACCUCAGUUAUGCUCCAUGGGAGCCAACAGAUAUAGUUAAGAGAAGGAUGGGAUAUCAAGAUCCAGUUGGGGUUAAAGUAACCCAAAAUGUUGAAUGGAUUAUUUGCGUUAGUUGACAUUUCCGAAGGAUAUUGCAAAUGUGCUAAUAGACUCCUUGUGAUACACCCAUAUGGUGCACUCUAGAAUAGUACAGCUAGAUAUGAAUAGUAGAAUGUCCAAAGGCAGGCACUGGAAUCUUAGAAGGAAUAAAUAUUAUCAUAGUAUGGCUUCCGUCCCUAGUAGAGAAAUAAUGCUUGGCAACCUGAAGAGCCAAUGGAUGAAGCAAGGGGAGCUAAAAGCCCAAGAAUGUCUUGUUGAAGUUUUCAAAAGAAAGUGAUAGGCAGAAAUAUUAGUAGGGAAAUAAGAAGAGAGAUAAGGAAGCAUUAUGAAUAAGGUGUGAUACAUGGAUGACAACGGUAGAAAAAAAUGAUACUAUUGCAGAGUCUAUAGUCAGGUGAAGGAAGAAACAAGAGGUGAUUCUAAUGUGAUCACCAAAAGGAAAAAUUCGUGAGUCUAACGUGAUCACCAGACGGAAAAGUUAGACCAGAAUAAUAGAAAUCAGUAUGGACUGGUGAACGAGAAAAGCUAAACAUGAAUUAGGGACUUAGUGAUUUGAUAAUGGUUGACAUAAUGAGAAUUUCAUAUUUCGUUUUAGCGAUGAUAGAAUGGACAACAGAAGAAGAUUCAUGUGAAAUUCAGAGGAUGGUCAUUCAGGAAGACGCUUCCCUAAAGCAAGCAAUGUGAGCAAAUUUAAGCUUAAGAGAGUGUAUGUGCCAGUUAUACUAAGUGUCAUCCUCGCGAGUAAGGAAUUUGUUUACCCUUUGUACUGAAGAAUUACCUCAAGGCGAGUAAGGUUCAUCGAUGAUGUGUGAAGAUGACAAAGAUGAAAAGGUAAAACAUAUAUAGGUAGAUCAUCGUAACGUUAAAUCUUAGUACUUCCCUAAAGGGGGGAAUAUGGAGUAAUGUGACAUUAAGUCAGAAUUAAGUGGUUCUAGGAACCAUGGAAUUGUAAAGGAAGAAUGCGAUAAAACGAAAAAGGGGAUGAGAUUGCACUUAUUCAAAGCCUAAAAAUAUGCUACUAUUCCAGAAGAUUAUGCAAACAAGACGUCAAGGAAAGGAAUUAAUGGUUCCUGCCCAAGAUCUUAUUCAUAAAUAAGGAGCCGGUGCAAGAGGUAGUUUAAGACAAAGGAUAUAACCCGAGAAAGAUUAUGCGGAAUAUUGAUAUGAGAAUAGGCCAGUGAGUAGUUAGUAGUCGAUACAGGAAGAGCCUAGUUAUGGCUAGAUAAAAGGAUACAGACAAAUCAAUAGAUCGUGCAAGAUAAACAGAGUAGACCCCAACAUGGGAAAUUCAGUCUCGCAAAUAUGACAUCGUGAACCUUGAAAUAUAUUCGGAUAAGAGUUGGUAUAGUUAAAGGUAUCGUAUGAUAGUGCCUAAAAAGACAGUCAAAAUAUUUGUUCAGAAGCAACCCUACAAGCACAAGGGCGUGGAAGCAAGUAACUACGGAUAAUUAUAGGCAAGGAAUGACAUCAAAAGGUCCGUCGAAUAUACAAUGUAAUAAGCUCAUAGCUUUACAAGAGUCAGAGGAUCCUCCCUAUAUACAACAAAGACUAGUUGAGGAAGUAAGGAAGAAGACUUCAACCUAAGGAGUAAAUGGUCGUAUAAAAAUAGUCUCACAACAACAUUGUAUGCACUCCAUAAGAAAAUGACACCUACCGUGGCUAAUGAAAGGGAAGUAAAAUCAUAAGUGAUAUUCAAGAUCAUAUUAGUUGUACAGAAUUCCAAUGUGUGUGGGUACGAAGGUAAGAUGAGUAUGCACGUAACAAGGGGCAGAAAGACCAGUAAAAGUAAUUGCUUACAUUAAAAAAGAAGAUAAGAAGGAACGGAAAGAAUUAUUCGAUUAAUGACCCAGAGUACGUUAUGAACGCACUUACGAGUUUGGAGUUUAAUACAUGCAGCAUAUAUGUUGACAAUCAUACAAAUAUAGAAGACUGCGGUUGUUACACCCCAUAAGUUUAACAAUAUUGACAUCGUUAUAUAUAUUUGAUAUGGUAUUUUGAUUGAAACAUUUUUUAUAGGAAUUAAAUGAUUCACCUAGUGGGUGUAAAACAGAGUGGAACAUAUAAAACCAAGACCGUAGUGUGUCAGAGUUCCCAUGGGCUUUAAGAACCCAGGGCAGUGCUCACACUAGGGAGGUUAACAAGGAUAAUCUAGGUAGCCUUGGCUUUCAGCCAGCUAAGAAUAUGAACUCAAAAGGACCAGACAGUAAAGGAAUAGAAUGAGGUUAAAGGGACACCAAUGAAGGACAGAACCAAAUUGAGCACACAAAAAGAUAACAGACAUGCUUGGAUUUAAGCCAGACUUAACCAAGUUUCAGAAAAUGAAUUCAAAUACAUAAUGAACAUAUCAACAAUACAUGUUACAAGAUAGUCUCAUAUUAGGAGAAAGAAGAGAGUUCAGAUUAGGCUAUUUGCAGAAGGCUGGUGUCACGAAAGAGGAUCAUAUCAAUAAGCAACAGGACCUAACAUGCUGAGAACUACUUAGGCCAAUUAGCGGGAAGUCAAGACAGGAUCAAACAAGAUACCUCCCAACAAAUUUAGAAACAAACUUGUUACAUACUUGAUGAAUACAUUCAUACUUAGCCAAUUAGUCUAUAUAAGGAGAUUGGAGAGCAUGUUCAAAUAAUAGGUCUAACAACAAAUUUAAACUUUCAAGAGGUGGCUAUCAUUAAUACAUAGUCUAGGAAGAAUUAAAGAAAUUAAUCAACUUAACGUAGGUUUAAAUAUGUCGCAGAAUACAAACGUAAUGGCAUUUAGGUUUAAAGUAACACAUUGAACAAAUUCUUCAGAAAUGAAAACACAUGUUAAUGACAUGCAAAUCAAAAUGAAAUGACAAAGGCUUUGUAACUCACCAGUUAAAUGAAACAAGAAAGAAAAGAAGCCCACAAUGUUUCUUGAAUAUCACCAAAAGAACAAGAACUCAGAAUUUCUUGCCUUGGCUUUCAGCCGACCAUGAACUAAAGUGCAGAACAAGACUAUUAAAGAGCGAAGAGCACACAAUUUUUUUUUUGUAGUUCGUAAUGAUUUUUAAGUUGUUUCAAAGGGGAAUAUGGAGGGGUUUAUAUAGUGUAGGGAUUGAACACAUAAACAUGGAAAUAAUUAGUCAAACAUUAGAAAGGAAAGCAUUUAAAACCAUUAAGGAAGCAAAAAAUUUAAAACCCUAGUUCUUAGGUAAAAUACACAAAUCAACAGAAAUAAAAGGCAAAAGAAUAAUAUUCUACGUAGAAUAAGAUGAACAUAUAUAGAAAUACUAUUCAAAAUCAAAGAAUUGAACCAAAUUUGGUUCGAUUUAAAAGAAUUUGAAACCCUAAUUUAGGGUAAGUAAAAAAAUCACCAAAAAUAAACAACUUUGCAUAUAAUAGGGCGAAUAUAAACAAGAGAAUACUUAAAAUAAAAGGCUUGAACCAAUUUUGGUUGGAAUCAAAGAAAAUCUGUAAACCCUAGGUUUAGGGUUAAAUACGAAUCAGCAAAAAAUGAACAAAUCGGACGCACACGGUGUAGAAUAAAUAUGUGUGGACGCAAUAUCAUCCAGAUUCAAGAGAUGGAAGUCAAUCGGACUAAAUCAUUGUAAGAGUACGUGCCGUGUUUAGGAAAAUACUAGGUUAUACAGUAGAGAAUCACCAGUAACGGAAAUAUAUGGAUAUGGUAAGUGAAUAGGAAGAAUAUCCCAUUAGAAGAGGGAUUAGUAGAGGAGUUUUUGAGAGGCGGCGGGUUAGGAUUCUUUAGAGAGGAGAAAAUUGAGAGGCAGCGGGUAUGGGGGGAAUGAGGUUAGGGUUUGAGGUUGAGUGAUAUAAGGAAAGGGGGAGGCGUUUGUGAGCCGUUGAUCAUUUGAUCGACGGUUGGGAUGUGAGAAGGGGUUGGGCUAGUUUUUGACUGGGUUGGGUCAUUUAGGAUUAGGCUAGGGUUUAUUGGGUCAAGGUCUGGGUAGCUAGGUCCGAAAUUAGGAUGAAAUUAGGGCCAGAUUUUAAAUGCCCAGUUUUAAUCAAAUAAAUAAUUUAUAAAAGUAAUAAAUAAAUAAUAAAAUAUCAUUUGUGCAUAUAAGUAUUUAAAAAUAAUUACUUAACAUUAUAAAAAUAUAAAAGGUCAUUUUUUGUGUAAAUAAUGCAAUUAUAUAUUAAUUUGGGCUAUUAUUGCAAAGAUAUGCAAUUUAGUUUUAAAAUGCAAAUGUAAUUAUAAAAUGUAUUGAAAAAUAUUUAAACAUUAUGUGUGUAAAAAUGAUAAAUUUAGAUGGUUAAAUCAUCAUAGAAAUAAUUUGAAGGAUAAUUAUUGGAUAUUUAGAUAUAUUAAAAAUGCAAGAAUAAAUUGGUUUAAAGCCAUUAAAAAUAAUGAAAAAUUAUGAAAAAUAUUUAUGUAUGCUUAUAAAUCAAAUGAUGAUGCAUAUGCACUAUUAAAAGUAUAUGUAUAUAUUUAAAAAUGAUGGAAAAAUUGGGUAUCAACAGCCACCUAACGGUUUAUGAGGUGCGUUAAGGCACCUAUUAUGCAGAUAACUCUGUUUGACUUGUCAACACUGCCAAAGAUCGAGUAAGAACUCAAAUUACCUCAAAGAGAAGGUGUUAGACACUCUUUGAGGUCCACAACUGCAGGUCCCGACCGAACUUAAGAUUAUGUGGAUUACAAUUAGGCUAAGUGAUCAAAUAAAUAAAGGGAAUAUAAAGGUCAAAGAAUUUCAUUAUAACACAAUUAGUAUAGAUCUUAGUACGAAUAUAGGAAUGCAACUAUUUAGAUCUAACAACAACAUAUAAACAAGGGGGGCCCUAAGUUUUUUAGCCUAAAGAAUCAUCCCGUGCAACUUAAAUAAUACUUUGCAACUCUUUUGAGGUAGGGAGUUACUCAUAUUAUUCAGCGGGCAUAUACUAUCAUCUCAUGAUACCCGAUUACUAUGUUAAAGUUGGUUUACCUAGAAGGGCUCUAAUUCAAUUCUAAGUCGUGCUCUAUGCAUGCACUACCCGUCUCAUACCUACGGUCUAGGAGGCAUUGGACCUCUAUUUGGGUAGUUCUAGACCCUAUCUAGGUUGCACAAAAGUGUUAAAACUAGGUGACAUACAAAAACACAUUGGACUUCAAAUAUGGGCAGUUAAGGUCUUAAGUUGGCCUCCACACUUAAGCAACAAAUGCACGCGAAAUAGGUUUUCAUGUUAGGCAGUUUCAGAAUUAAGAACCUUAAGCCCUAUAGAUAUAAUUUCUAUGUGACUUUGAAUUAAACAUACAUGCAGUUUUAGAUGCAAAGUGCUGCUCAUAGACAAGAUUAUACAGUUGUUACAUGCUGAUUAUUGAGAUUGCAGAUUUCUUAUAAAGUCUAAGUAAUUUACGUAGUAAAGGACAGUGAAAACUAUUGGAGAAAAGCCUAGAAUUACUCAUGCUUUUUAACAUUGUCAAAAAUAGGCAGUAGACAGUGUUUGAGAAGUUCAACAUUAGAAUUAAAAGCGAAUAGUCAUACCCUAUAGGCAGGCUCUCUAACGAUUGACGCUUGGAACCAAUUUUGUUAUGCUUAGCCCCCCGAUAGACAUGUUUUGUAAGUGAGCAUUAUGAGACAAUAGAAAAUGGGAUAACUAAAAUCCUAUAGGCAUGAUUUCUAGUGAAUAUGCUAUAGCGAUGCGAAUGGAAAGAAAGUUCAGUGAUAUUUGUUUCCUAUAGGAAGGUUUCUAGUAACACAUAGAAGUAGGAAUAGUUGAAGCAUUUGAACUCAUGUUUUGCUGGCAAACGAGUAAUGUGAGAGUGUGUUUCUUUUAAUGACAUUGUUUCUACAGUGCACAUAGAUAUUGAAUGGCAUAUUGUCGGGCCUCUUUUUCCUCGCAGAGUCCAGGUUUCGACAUUUUGGGGACAACUCCUUUCCUUUUGGGAAUUGGGUAUGAGAUUUGAAGAGUCGUCACCUAAUGAAUUUAAGAUGUGUUAGGGCACCUAGGAUAAAUAACUCGUGUACUAGUUUACAUUACCAGAGAUUGGGUAAGGGCUCGAAAUUACCUUGAGGGGAAGGUGUUAGGCACCCCUCGAGGUCCACAAUAGUGGGUCCCGGCCAAACUCAAUUUAAGCGAAUUAGUCUUAUAAGCAGAUAAACAAACAGAUAUUACUUUAAAAAAACAAGGAGUAAAGGGGUCCUAGGUUUUUUAGCCUAUAGGAUCACUUCUGUGCAAUGCUUCGUAAACUUCCCCAAAUUGGGGUGCUACACAUAGCAUUAGUGCACAGGUAAUCAUAUCCUUUACUACUUGAUUUUCCUCCCCUUAAUUGUUACCUAAGUGUUCUAACAACAUCGAAUACGUAUCUUAUGCGUGCACUACCUGUCCCUUACCUGUGGCCUAGGAGGUGUUUAUGACCUCUAUUUAAGGUGCCUAUAAACUCAUAUAUGUUGUUUAAAAGGAGAAAACUAAGCGACAAACAAAGUCAAAUAGGACUAUCACAUAAAGAUGCAAUUAAGGGGGCUCACAUUUACCUCCACAAAUAGACAAAGCAAGUGCAUGCCAUUCAACAAUCAGUUUUUAUAAUUUUAGGAGUCCUAUAAGCAAGAUAUCUAAAUGAGUACAAACAAAGUAGACAGCAGUUUUAUUUAGGCGAGGUAGUGAGCACCUAUCAGUUUGCCUACUGAUUUUUUAUCACUUACUGAAUUUGAGCAAAUUUCAAGCAACAAGGAAAUCACAAUUUCAAACCCUGGAUUUAAUUGUCCUACAUGCUUGCCUAAGAGAUAACUGGCAGAAUCCUACACAUGGUAUCUAAACGAUAAUCAUACCAUAAUUUAUAAACCAAUGAUUUAGCAUGCAGAUUUUAUCCUUUUAGAUACUAUAGUAAGUGUUGAAACUGAUCACAAGCGUUAUUUCGUAACACAGAAAGCUGAUUUUUAUACACGUUCCCUAUAGGUAUGAUAUCUAAAUCGUCAAAACUGAUUUUAAACAUGAUUUCCUAUGGACAUGAUAUCUAAGUGAGCAGAAUGUUAUACUUAGUUGAUAACGCCCAAAAAGAUCUUAUAGGCAUGGUUUCUAAUGCAUAUUAAGACUUGAAGCUAUGCAGGAACAUGAAUCUCGAUACAGAAUUGAGAAACGCCUUAGAAGCAGGAUUUCUAGUGAUGCAAAGUAUGAAAAUUCAGGAUUUUAAAGAAUGAGAUUAUGUCCUAUAGGCAUGGUUUCUAAUGCAUAUGAGUAAACAAUCAUCACAACAAUCUAAAGGCAUGAUUUCUACUGCAUAUAAAAUAAACACAACAAUCCUAUAGGCAUGACUUCUACCCAAUCCCAACAAAGAUAUAUGAUAAUCCCUCCCAACUUUACUAGUAGCCCCGAUAUCUGUUUUUAAAAAGAUUAUUAUUACAGACCAAUAUAAAUGACUUACAUAAUGAAAAUCACUAUACUAUAGGGAGCCUUCAUAGGCCCAACAUCAGCCUGGAACCAAGCCUUCAAAUUUAGCACUUUUGAGUACAGUAGUAGCCCAUUCAUAACACAUAAAGCUGGUUCCUGGUGUGCCAAAGUUCCCAAGCGCCUCAGGGACCCCAGGCAAUGUUCACACCAGGAUUGAAUGUUCAACAAGAUACACAAAGGAUUGAAAAACCAGCCCCAAUAUGUCAGCGUUUAGAGGAGUCUCAUGGACCCUAAGUAGUGCUCACACUAAGGGGUGGCAGGACCCUAGACAGCUAAGAGUAGAAGUUGAAAAUAGUAUGUAAAAAGUAGGAAAUAGUUUUAGGAAAGAAAACCGUUUGGAUUUUUAGAUGUGAAUAGAGACAAAUUACCAGAUUACAAGAACCACAAGAAUAACCACAUUUAACAGAAGCAGUUCAGAUAUAAACUCCAACAAACAGGACAAAGUCACAAUUAAAACAAGGUUUCACAUAGCCUAGGAUUGACUUAAUUCAUUAGCUAUUACUAGGUGAGCAUAUAGGCAUGUAUUAAAUGAGAAAACAUGUUGAGAUCAAGUUACUGAUCAGACAGUCAUACAAAAGGGUAGCAAAAGUUGGGAGCAAAGAAAUCAUGAAUUAAUCAGGAACCUGUUAGGGUGAACACUUAAAACAUGACAGAAAACAUUCUAGUCGAGAAACAAGUGGACAUGGGUUUAAUUACAUAGAAGUAGACAUUCUGGUUAAGGGUAAUAAACAGGAGGAACAAUGGUUUAACUUCAUAGCAUAUUGAAUGAUGGUAGAAGUGGAGACAUACCAAUUACGAGAUAGCAACAGGAAAGUAAAGCAAAUAGGAUCCAAGGGUCUAGCCUUGGCUUUCAGCCGACUAGACAGUGAAACAAACACAAUUAACAGGAAGAAUUGCAAUGGAGAAUGUGAAUGAAUAAGAGCCAUGAUUUGUGUGAGUUUAUGUGUUUCUCUAUGUGUCUUUGUGUCGGCACAAUGAAAGGCUUUUAUAGCAUACAAUAGAGCAAACAAAUAAGGUAGGAAAUCAAUUGCACACAAAUAAAGCAAAGAGAUCAGUCAAUCGGUGAAUUAGGGCUAACAUGAGUCAAUUAAUAUGCGGAAUUAAGUAAAUAUCCCUUAAAUUAAGGAGAAUCUCACACGGAGCAAAUCAACAAACAAGAUUAAGGUUUAAAUAAAGUAAGUACUAAGUCCCGAGAUCAAUCAAAACACAUAAAUCAGACCAGCAUAGGAAUUAAGAGAGGUAGUACCAAUUAUUAAUCACACAUAAGGAAAGAACGGGUAAAAAUCCUAUAAGGAAAUAUCAGUUUUAAAGUGGAGCACAAUUUCGAAUCCUAAUUAGACAGGUAAUUCAAUUAAUAUGUUAAUUAACAAAGCUAUGUAAGAGGGCAAAACAUUAUAAGCAACAAUCAAAUAAUUGAAAACCCUAAGGUAUAAAGCCAUAGAGAUGAAACUUCAGUAAAAUCAGUCGAGAAAAGCAGAGAAGAAAACUAGAGUUGAAAAAUGCCUAUACGUUUAAAACAUUUUGCAGGAAUCUCAUAGAAAAAUCAAAACCCUAGGUUUUAGGAAAAAAAAUUAAAUCGGUUAUAAUAGCAAACACAGAGAAAUCUUAAAGGAAAAAUACAAAACAAACUCAAAACCUUUCAUAUCUAAAGAGAUCUAACAAAUUCAACCAGAAGUGACUAAGUUUAUAUUAUUUUUUUUAAAAAGAACAGAGGUGGAAAAUCGGGUUUGAACCAGAGAUUUGAUGUCAUGAAAACACGAAAGUGAUAGUACUCACAGACAUAAGGUUGAAUAUAGGCAGAUUAAUCGAAAAGAUGAGAGAUUUGAACUAAAUUUGUUUCGAAUCCCUCGAGAUCCCACCAAGUAACAUGAAAAUCGAACAACCAGUAGAGGUAGGAGGUCAGAUAAGUGGUAAAUCACCAAAUGAUUCCAUAUCCGGUUGGGAAUUAAAGGGAUUUGGAAAGAGUUUUGGGUGACAACGCUCUAGGGUUUGAGAGCGUUUGAGAGAGAAGAGAGGAUGAGAGGAUUCUGAGGUGGCGUAUUUGAGAGAAUGGGUAGGGUUUAGGGGAUCGUUGGAUUAAAAAAGGAAAGGGAUUAGGUGGACCGUUGAUCUCAGAGAUCAACGACCACGAUUAGAGGAGGUUCUGGGUCGGGUAAGGGUUACUUAGUUUAGGCUGAGGUGGAUUGGGCUAGGAUUUAAGUAAUUGGGCUGGUGUAAUUUGGUUAGGUCCGAAAAUGAUUAAGAAAAAGGGGCUAUUAUUUAAAUACUCAAUUAAUUGAUAAAUUAAUUUGUAAAAAUAAUUAAUUAAAUGAUAAAAAUAAUUUUUAUGCAUAAAAAUGAUUUACAUAAUUACUUAAUAUUAUAAAAAUACAAAAAGUUAUUUUCUUGUGAAAUAAGGUAAUGAUGCACACAUGGGCCAUUAUUGUAAAGUUAUUGAAAUUAUAAACCUAACAUGUGAAUGUGGCUAUUCAUGAAAUAAUUAAAGCUUAGUAUAAAUAUAAAAUAAUGAAAUUAAACAAUAAAAGUAUCAUAAUAAUAUUUGUGAUACAAUUAGUAAUUAUUUGGGUAAUAAAAUUCUAGAACAAAUUAGUUAAAAUUCUUUUAAAAUUACAAAACAUUAUGAAAAAAUGAUGGCUGAUGCUCAUGUACUAUUUUGGAAGUGUAUGUGUAUUUUUAAAAUAUAUGAGGGAAAAAUUGGGUAUCAACAGUUGCCCCUCUUUAGCCGGGAAGGAUGAAAGAGUUUUCGGGUAAAGAAAUGAUGACCGAUUUUGACCAAAUGGGAUGUUUUAAAAAAUUAGAGGUCGAACCCUGGUCUCUGAGCUGCCUAGAUAUCCCUGGUUUUACAACAAUCAGGCCAUGUGUAGUUCUGGAUCCAAUGGUGAAUGAGGCCGAUGGAUUUGUUAUGGGAAUUAUAACAUGUUUCAGAAAAAGGUUCUUUCGUGAAGGGUAGUAUCAGAUGGGUUUAUGCGGAGUUAUGAUUAUGAGUCUGAAGUAUAACGGGUGUAUCACAGGGUAGUUAUCUGGACGAUUAUGGGGUAAAGGCAAGUAAUUGAUGGCAGUUGAUUACAUUUGAAAUAAUGGUAAGGCACAAGUGGAAACUGGAAGGGUAUGAGCAGAAACCGGAGCGACGGUUGCUCCUGUUUGAAGAACAAUUACUUCUUGGAUUACAUGCAAAACUUAAAACACAAUGCAUGUGGGUAUAUGGAGUAUUGCAAGAAUUUAAACAUGUUGCAAGUUCCUUUUGGACCAUGAAAGAUUGUCUUUGGACAGUGAAGAUGACAUCCUUAGACCAUGAUGUCCGGGGCUAUAAAUCAUGAGAUAAGAGAUUCGAAGGCCAUGAAAUGAUAUUCUCAGGACAUGAAAAUGAUGCAUCCUAACCAUGAUGCCUUUGAAUAAUGAUGUGCAUUAUUGAGAGAUCCUCAGGCCAUGACAUGGUGUCUACAGACUAUGAGGAUGAUGCCUUCGGACUAUGAUGCCUUUGGACAUGUUGGCUAUACAUCAGCCCAUGGAGUGCAGGGACAUGAUACCAAAGGUAAUAAAAAGGCAACACUUCGCAUUGUGCAAUUUGUUUUGGGGUAGAACAUGGCCCCGAGAGAAGACGAUAAUGCAAAUUUAAGGUGGAGCAACACUUAUGCAGAUGGAGACAAUGCUUAGUCUCAGGAGAAGACAAUGGUUAGCCUUAUGCAAAUGUAGAGGCAUGGCUUAGCCUCAUGCGAGGUUUGAGACAAGGCUUAUUCUCAUGCAAAGAGAAGGCAAUGCUUAGCCUUAUAUAAAUGUGGAGGCAUGGCUUAGCCUCAUGCAAGAUUUGAGACAAGGAUUAGUCUCAUGCAAAGAGAAGGAAACGCUUAGCCUUAUGUAAAUGUGGAGGCAAGGCUUUGCCUCAUGCAAGAUUUGAGAUAAGGCUUAGUCUCAUACAAAGAGAAUUCAAUGCGUAGCCUUAUACAAAUGUGGAGGCAGGGCUUAACCUCAUGCAAGAUUUGAGACAAGGUUUAGUCUCAUGCAAAGAGAAUGCAAUGCUUAGCCUUAUGAAAAUCUAUAGGUAGGGCUUAGCCUCAUUCAAGAUUUGAGACAAGGCUUAGUCUCAUGCAAAGAGAAGGCAAUGCUUAUCCUUAUGCAAAUGUGGAGGCAGGGCUUAACCUUUUGCAAGAUUUGAGAAAAGGUUUAGUCUCAUGAAUAGAGAAUGCAAUGCUUAGCCUUAUGCAAAUGUAGAGGCAGGGCUUAGCCUCAUGCAAGAUUUGAGACAAGGCUUAGUCUUAUGCAAAGAGAAGGCAAUGUUUAGCCUUAUGCAAAUGUGGAGGCAGGGCUAAGUCUCAUACAAUAUUUGAGACAAGGCUUAGUCUCAUGCAAAGAGAAGGCAAUGCUUAGNNNNNNNNNNNNNNNNNNNGCNUAGUCUUAUGCAAAUGUGGAGGCAAGUCUUAGCCUCAUGCAAGAUUUGAGACAAGGCUUAGUCUUAGGCAAACAGAAGGCAUUGCUUAGCCUUAUGCAAAUGUGGAGGUAGAGCUUAGCCUAAUGCAAGAGAAAGCAAUGCUUAGCCUUAUGCAAAUGUAGAGGCAGGGCUUAGACUCAUGCAAGAGAAGACAAUGCUUAGCCUUAUGCAAAUGUGGAGGCAGGGCUUAGCCUCUUGGAAGAUUUGAGACAAGGCUUAGUCUCAAGCAAAGAGAAGGCAGUACUUAGCCUUAUGCAGUGAACAAUUAACAAAUAGGAGUAGAAUAUUUCUUAGAUGGAGGUAUAUUUGUAUCUCGCGGCCUGAUUAUUUUGGGGAUAGUGACUUCGGUAUGUGUAUAUUUGUGAAUACUCCUAUUAUGUUCACUGUGCCUGCAUCCAAGAUAAAUCGUGAGUUUUGUAGGGGGAGGUUUGUUGGUGCCCUUGCCUGCUUGUUUUGCUUUUCUUUGCUCUAAUGACCCUGCUCAAGUUACCCUGGGUAACACCUGGCUAUGACAGAAAUAAGAUUUUUGAAAAAUAUGUACUUAUUGACGAAAGAGAGUUAUUUUAGAAAACAUAGUGGUAUAGUAUAUUAAGUAGAUUCGAUGAACUAAUGACUGUGACAAUUUAUAUACAUUAUGGCUUCCUUACAAUAGAAUUUUGAGGGUACUCCUCAAAAUUCUGCCCCAGUUUGAUCCUUCGGCCAUUCUGCGUGAGACGAAGUUGGUUGUAUUUGCUCCGGAAUUUUGAGAAUCCUUAUCAAAAUUCUGCCCCAGUUACUUAAUUGAUUUCUGACUGUCUGGCAUAUGAUGUCAUCAGCUGGACUUGCUUCGAAAUUUUGAGGGUCCUCCUCAAAAUUCUGUCCUAGUUUUUGAUUAUUGGGGAAAUGAAGAUUUUAUUAAGAUAUGAAAGAACCCACUGGGCUGCCUGCGUAUCCCCUCUUAAAUGGGAAUCAGUUCAAGCAUAGUCCAGUUACAUCAUAUGAGGAAGUAUCUCUUGACUGCGUCUGAAUUGAUUGGUUUUGGCCAAACUUCUCCGUCCAUUUUUGCAAGUAUGAGUGCUCCUCCUAUUAGCACCUGGUGAACUAUGUAGGUACCUUGCCAGUUGGGUGAAAAUUUCCCUUUGGCUUCAUCCAGAUGAGGGAAGAUCCACUUCAGCACCAACUAUCCCGGUGCGAAUUGUCUUGGUUUGACCCUUUUGUUGAAAGCUAUAGACAUUCUAUUAUGAUAAAGCUGACCGUGAAAUACUGCAUUCAUUCUUUUUCCAUCUAUGAGGGCUAGUUUUUCGUAGCGACUCCUUAUCCAUUUUGCAUCGCUGAGUUCGGCUUCCUAUAUAAUCCUUAAAGAAGGAAUUUCUACUUCAGCUAGAAUGACGGCUUCAAUACCAUAAAUGAGUAAAUAGGGAGUUUCCCCAGUUGAUGUGCAGACCGUAGUGCGGUAUCCCAAUAGGGCAAAGGGUAACUUCUCGUGCCAUUGUUUGUGAUUUCUUACCAUUUUCCUUAGUAUCUUCUUGAUGUUAUUAUUGGCAGAUUCCACAGCUCCAUUCAUUUGAGGCAUGUAUAUUGUAGAGUUUUUGUGUUUAAUUUUAAAGGUUUCACAUAUGGCUUUCAUCAAAUCACUGUUGAGAUUGGCGGCAUUAUCAGUAAUAAUGGACUUGGGAACCCCGAAUCCUCAAACAAUACGAUCCUUGACAAAAUCUGCGAUGACAUUCUUGGUUACAGCUUUCUGGGAUGCAACUUCUACCCAUUUUGUGAAGUAAUCGAUGGCCACUAAAAUGAACCAGUGUCCGUUUGAAGCAGUAGGCUCGAUCGGACCGAUGACAUUCAUUCCCUAGGCAGUAAAAGGCCAAGGUGCACUUGCUGCAUUGAGCUCGUUUGGUGGUACCCUUAUCAUGUCUGCAUGUACCUGGCAUUGGUGGCAUUUCUGGAUGUACCGGAUGCAAUUUGUUUCCAUGGUCAUCCAAAAAUACCUAGCUCUAGGUAUCUUCUUGGAUAGAACAAAAUUGUUCAUAUGUGGUCCGCAAGUUCUGGCAUGUAUAUCCUCAAGCAAUCCGGAAGCCUCCUUCGCAUCAACACACAUUAACAACCGCAGAUCAAGAGUUCUUCUAUACAGGGUCCCUCCACUUUGGAAAAAGUAAUUGGACAACCUGUGCAAUGUGUGUUUCUAAGUAUGGUUUGUCUGUUCUGGGUAUUCUCCUUUUUCCAGAUAUCCUUGAUGUCAUGUGAACCAAGGUUUUCCAUCUGUUUCUUCUUCAACAUAAGCACAGUAAGCCGGUUGAGUAUGGAUCCUAACCGGGAUGGGAUCGAUAAAAUUCCUAUCCAGAUGUUGUAUCAUUGAUGACAUGGUGACCAGUGCGUCGACAAACUCAUUUUAAAUUCUGGGCACAUGUUUGAACGUUAUCUUUUUGAAUCUCUUCCUCAACUCCUACACUCGAUACAAAUAUGGCGGUAUCUUGGUAUUCUUCGUAGCCCAUUCUCCUUGAACCUGAUGCACCAGAGGAUCAGAAUCACCAAUUAGCAGUAACUCAUGUAUAUUCAUAUUGAUGGCCAGAUUGAGACCCAUAAUGAAAGCUUCAUAUUCUUCCAUACUGUUGGUGCACAGAAACCUAAGCUUUGUGGAUACUGGGUAAUGUUGACCUGUUUCUGAUACCAAAACAGCUCCAAUUCCCACUCCUUUGAAGUUUGUAUCCCCAUCGAAGAACAUUCUCCAACCAUCGUAGGCUUCAACAAUGCCCUCUCCUACGAAUGACACUUCUUCGUCAGGAAAAUACGUUUUUAGUGGUUCGUAUUCUCCUCCCACAGUAUUUUUAGCAAGAUGGUAUGCCAAUGCUUGUCCUUUGACUGCCUUCUGAGUUACAUAAAUGAUGGUAUUUUUAGCAAGAUGGUAUGCCAUGCUUCCCGGUUGGCAUGGGCUUCUGAAAGAUGUACUUCAGAAGGUCCAUCCUGGAUAUGAGGUAUGUAGUCUAGGCACAAAAAUAAUGCCUCAAUUUUUGAGUUGUCCAUGUCAAAGCACAACAAGUGCAUUCCAACAGAUAGUAUCGUGCUUCAUAAGGUGUGAACUUCUUACUCAAUUAGUAUAUGGCUUGCUCCUUUAUUCUUGUCUCAUCAUGUUGUCCUAACACACAUCCGAAAGCUCCAUCUAAUACGAAUAUAUAGAUUAGCAAAUGUCUACCAGGUUCUAGCGGGACUAGGACCAGCGGUGUAGACAGGUAUUCCUUGAUUUUGUCGAAAGCCUUCUAACAAUCCUCAUACAAACUGGUUUUAGCAUCUUUUCUCAACAUUUUGAAGAUGGAAUCACAUAUUACCAUGGACUCUGCUAUGAAUCGACUGAUGUAGUUGAGGCAUCCUAGGAAGCUCAUCAUGUCCUUCUUACCUGUUGGCGGUGGUAACUCUUUGAUAGCCUUAACUUUGGAUGAGUCCAACUCGAUUCCUCGGCGGCUAACAAUGAAUCCCAACAGUAUUCCCGUAGGAACCCCGAAUGCACAUUUUACGGGGUUCAGUUUUAGAUUGUACCUCCUUAGCCUGUCAGAGAACUUUCUCAAGUAUUCUAUGUGAUUUGUGGCCCUCUUGGAUUUGGUGAUGACGUCAUCAACAUACACCUUUAUUUCCUUGUGUAUCAUAUCAUGGAAGAUGGUUUUCAUGGCUCUUAUGUAAGUAGCCCCACCAUUCUUUAGACCGAAUGUAAUCAUCUUGUAGCAGUACACUCCCCACUGUGUAAUGAAAGUUGUUUUCUCUACGUCUUCUUCGUCCAUCUAGAUCUGGUGAUAACCUGCAAAGCAAUCUACAAAGGAUUGGAGUUCAUGCUUGGCGCAAUUGUCGAUCAGGAUGUGUAUUUUUGGCAGUGGAAAAUCGUCCUUGGGACUUGCUCUCUUUAAUCCUGAUUUUGGUAUACCUUGACCUUCCCAUUUUUCUUCGGAACUGGUACAUUGUUGGCUAACCAGGUUGGGUACUCAACUACCCUGAGGACUUUGGCUUUGAUUUGCUUAGUGACUUCCUCCUUGAUUUUCAAGCUCAUAUCUGGUUUGAACUUUCUGAGUUUCUUCUUCACUGGCGGACACAAUGGGUUGGUAAGUAACUUGUGAGCCAUUAUGGAUGUGUUCAGACCAGUCAUGUCAUCAUAUGACCAUGCAAAGAUAUCCUCAAAUUCUUUUAUGAAAUGAGUGUACUAUUCCUUCUAUGAUGGUGAUAAAUGAAUGCUUAUGCGAGUCUCCUUGACGGUUUCGGCGUCUCCCAAAUUGAUUGCUUCGGUUUCGUCUAGGUUGGACUUAGGUUUGUUCUCAAAUUUCUCAACCUCUUUGACAACUUCCUCAGGUAUUUCAUCCUCUUCUUCUGAGUCACUAUCCUUAUGUUGCGUUGUCUCGGUGCAUGUCACAGAAAUCGGUUCAUCUGGAAAAGUAAUAAUAACGUUAUAGAGAGAAACUGUGAAAGAUACUAAUGAAUAAUAAAUAGCAAUGCAUUGAUUUUAAAUUUGAAAAUAUCCCAAAACAUGUACGGCUCGAUGACUCGAGCAAUUAUUUUGAAACAGAAUGCGUCUUUAAAACAAAGUUACUGAAAAUUUCAUAAAUGCCUAGCAUGGAUAUAAACAAUCAGGCUAAUUGCCAAGCUACCGAGGGACUCGGCAGGCCCGAGAUGGUGUGGCAGUCCAAUUUCUGAGAACAACUCCCUUCUCCACAGUUUGAAUAGUGAGGACUUCUUCCUCCUCCUCAAUUAUCACAUUGCAAUCCAUAUCCUCGUUUUCCGGGAAUAAGUUUCUCAGCCCAGCCAAAGCUUCUUUCUCUAGAUAUCCCCAUAUUGUAUCGGCCUGGUGGAAAGUCUGACUUAAGUGUGUUACCAGCUGCUCGAGAGGGUAAUAAGGACCAUGCCACUGAGGCGAGCAAUUACUGCAAAAUGGUCGCUUGAAUGGCAGACGAGCAAAUAUAUAGAGGCUAAGUGACAACUGCUGGUUUGCCUAGGAGGGCUAAUUAAUUCUGGCCACGUUAACGUCACCUUCUCCGUGGGGAGUGCACUAGCACAAUCAUUCCAGGCUCCCACAUAACUCAUAAAAUCGAAAGUCCUCGAGAGAUCCUCGAUGUCAUAAAUAGUGAUUCGGAAGGAACUAUCGAUCCCACCUCGGGACGUGGCUGGUCUCGGGGCUCCUGGUCUGCUCCACAAAAAGGCCGCGAAGGGCCGGUGCCGGAACAUAAAAAUAAAAGAGCAAGGAGAAAAGCUAAUAAGAUAAAAGCUCUUUUUUAUAUACAUUAGCAAAGAGAUAAAACAUCAUUACACUAUUUGUUUCUCGGAGGGGGGGGGGAACACAUGAAGUAAAAAGAGAGGAAUACAAAAAGGGCUCGGAGACUACUCCUCGCCACUAUCAUCUUCACCCCCAUCAGGGGCAAUCAAGAGCGCCAGUCUUCCCUAUGCCGCACGAACCUCCUCCAGGUCAGCAGACAGCUCGAAGCCUCUGGCCUCGAGUUCUUCAAGGAUCUCCCUCUUUGCCUCUGCUUUGGCAUGUUCGACAGCUCGAAUCAGUUUGUCCUCGGCUGCCAGGGAUAUGUCACGAACCAUUGUAUGCGCUGUGGCCACAUCCUCCUUGUAAGCGGAAUCAUCUCGUUCGGCCUCAGACUUAGCCACUGCCAAAGUAACGAUCUCCCUGCGAGCGUUCGUGAGAAGAUCUUGGGACGUCGUCAACUCCCCGGCCAUAGUCUCGUUUCGCUCUUUUACCCCGGAGACCUUCGAUUUCAACUGACUAAUCUACGAGUUACUCUACUCGACCUACUAAGAAGGGCGAGUUGACGAAUAUAUGAAUCCAUAACAUAUGCAGAUAUGAGGUAAAAGGGGGCGAGCAUGAGUGAGGCAGGAUACUUGAGCAGCAAGAGCAGCCUUCUCCUGAAGAGCCGCCUCCAAGGUAGUCCAAAGUUCUCCCAACUCUUUGUCUCUCUAGACACGACGAGCCUUUAAGUCAUGCAGCUUUGAAGCAACGUUAUUAUGCUCCUUCUCAUGGCAAAGACGUUCCCCUCAGAGCCGAAGAAUGGCAUGAUCAUAUAUCUCCUUAAAAUAUGGCACAAUGAGAAAGUUAAGAAGGACGACGAAUAACGCCCGAGCAUUAAAAGGAAUGCGCAAGGGAAAACUAAUACCUGUUGCAUGGACUUCUACGCCGCCUUAAUGGCGCCGGAAAUAUCAAGAUCGGCUCUGCCGAUUACACUAUCAAAAAUGUUGGCGAUAAAAUCUCUCCCUUUUGAAGGUGUCCCGGUUAUGACGCCGGCCAUCCUUUCAGCAUCCCUCAGCUCUCCCGAUGCGAUCGAAAAGCUCGAAAAAGAAUGCUUGAUUUGACAAUUCCUCCAAAUAGUGACCCAUGCUCCUGGAAGGCCUCGGGCUUCGGACCCUCGGGAUCAAUGCCAACAUCCCUCCUAGUAGAAGCGGCAUUAGCAUCCUUUUAAAGGACCUUCUUCUCACUAGCCCGACCGGAGCCAGCUGUCCCGAAUUCAACAGCCUCCGGUUGGGGCGCUUGUAAAUCUCUCGCGUUGGACCUUGUUCUCCUCCUUAACAGACUUCCAUCAUCGUCCUCCCUCUCGAUGUCAAGAUUCGAUCCGGAGGUUAUGGUAGCAGUCCUAUCAGGUCGGGCAACAACUGCCCUGCUCUUCCUUUUCUUGUUCGUAUGAGGCCCCAAGCCCUCUACUUCACCAACGGGGGUCGACCGUAUCUGCAUAUUCUCACGAAGGCCUGCACCAACACAAUAAACACGGUACGUUUUUGCUAAGGGCUAGGAAGGAAACACAAAGUUCGAAGCACAGGCAGUAAAAGAACCUCACCAUGAUUCUUGGCCACCCAACACUCUUUAGCCAUGACGGUCCAAGACCGAAUACAUUACGGGAAAUUUUCAUCCAAAUGCUUGAUCCAUCCCGACAAAUCUGGGACCACCUCUGGAUGCCAAGCAGCGGAUGGAGAGAGCACAAAGAGGUUAUCAUGAAAAAUGAAAGAGUAAUUGAGAAGUGGCUAAAGGGAAGUUCACUUACGUCGAUCGUUCCACUGCUCUAGAAAGGGCAUCCUCCGGGCCGAGAUGAUGUCCGAGGUCCUCACUCGGCUAAACCUGCUCAUCCAUCCUCGGUCCUUCCUCUCAUAAACGCUCGUGAAAAAAGACUUUUUGGACCGAUGUUGAAGCUUUAUUAAGCCUUAAUAUAACCGAGGGCGGUACAGUCUGAUCAAAUGGCUAAGGGUGAAAACUUUGCCUCUAACCCCUUCAAUGAAAUACCUGAGCAUUAACACUAUCCUCCAAAAUGACGGAUAGAUCUAACCGAGGGUUACCUGAUAUCAGGCGCAGAAGUCAAGAAUAACCGGGUCGACUUCCAAGGGGGGAGAUUCGACCGACUUAUUAGGGCCCAAGGUGAUGGGUAAGUGUAUAAGUGAAGGAAGCCAACCUUGAAGUCGGUAAUGUUAUCAUUGGGGCCGGGGAUCUCUAUCUAUACAGCCUCGUUCCAUCGGUAGUCCUUCCUCACUUUGAUAUCAUCGACCACGAUGCUAACGUAUCUAGACACGUGCUCGCACCGACCCGGCGUAGAUGAGGGAGUCUUGAUGUCAAAAUUCUGCAAUGUAUCAAGAUCAGAAGGAGUCCAUUGCUCUAAAGUGGGAACUGAAUUGUUUUCCCCCUCAGGUAUUCGAGACGACGACACAGCAUUGUUCCGUCGGGGGACUGUCCUGGAAGUCCUAGCCAUGAAAAAUGAUAAAAACCCUUCUGUGAAAAGAGGAUAGGAUAUCAAGUAGUAAAAUUCUGGUUCGCAUGUUUAUGAGAAAGGUGAAGAUAGGAAGUAUCUGGCAACCGGUGCAUUUAUAGGAAGCACUAGGAAUGCAGAAAUGACAAGCCUACAACAGUACGUGGGUUUCUCGAUUACCGCAUCUGACGGUAGCCCUGCGCGGUUCUCUGGGGCAUGGCAUUUAAUGCUCUUAGACAGUUGAUGUCAUGGCAAUACUAACCUCAAGACGACGAUUCAAUAUCGUUUCCUUUUACUUCGUUCUAAGAAACUCGUAGACUAUCUGUAUGCUUCCUUUUACUUCCUUUUACUUCGUUCUAGUACCUCGAGGCUAUGGUAUUAUGAUCGAGCUUCCUUUCUCGAGGAUCAUCCGCGGCCCUGCAGAGGCUCCGAGGUUAAGGAAUCUGUCCACGACCUAGCAAAGGUUACGAAGACGAGGGACUCCCGAGGUAAGUGGCUAGAGUUAAUAGGCACUAGUACCAUGUCUAGCCAUCCCAUCCUCGCAUCUUUAAAUUUAAUACACCCUGUACUAUAUGGUAUUCCCCCUCAUAUAUAAGGGGAAUCCAUGCCACCUUGUAAGGGACUGAUGUUGCUCCAUUUUCUCCCCAAGUGCAAUAAUAUAUCUCUCUCUUUUCUUUCUAGCUUGCUCGUUCUCACUAGCCCGAGGACGUUUUAAUAUCAACCGUCCUCCUACUUGUUAUUCACUAUAUGACUCAAUAUUGGUCGUAAAGAGCCUUGCUUAAUCGUAGCCUCAAUUGUUAUCCCAUUCCCGGCUGACCCCAAUAACUCAAGCUCAACCCGAACCUGGAGCCCAAGGUCCCCAUCGAUCAGCCCUGCAUCCGGGCAACAUGCCCCUCAAUUUGACUACUACCUCGUUUUAGCCUGCAUUUCAUCGUUAAACUUAAAAUUAUUAUCAUCAACUACUCUAACAACUAGCUCGAGAAUAGAUCACGUAUUUUUAGAAUCCCAUUUACAAAUUAAAUUGUUGUUACCAUUUUCACUGUAAACAAGAAUUGAGUUAGUUGAUACUGGUGCCCAAAAGCAAUUCUUUGAACAAGGAAAUGGGUUGGUUGAGGAGGUAAGGAUGUUAAGACAACACAUGACGGACAUGUAUCAAGCUUGGAUGUCUGGGAAUGCACUACCCCCACCACCACCUAGCUUCCUAGAUGCUACCCGUACCCAAAUGCCGGUCAUAGUGCCAGAUGAUCCCCCAUACUCUCCACAUUUUCCCGCUUAUCACAGCUUUCCCAAUCACCCUAGUAGCUCCAUCACUCGUCCUCCAACUACCUUUCCCAAAAAUUGCACUCCUAUCAUAUCCACUAUACCCACGAUCACAACUUCUCAACAAUCUUUCCUUCAUAUAUUGAACAAUGAACACCCACUCAAAACUCAUGAUGCCCAAUAUUACCCCUCAGAGGUUGCCCACAAGGUUCCUGACUCAUAAAAUCAUAGCCAUCAGAAUGAGCCUCGUGCUAAAAAUGAAAAGUUCAAAGGAAAAGAAGGGCGAGAUGAGAUAUCCAGGAAGCUGAAAAGUAUAGAACAGUCCUUAAAGGGUAUGCAAGGGAUGGAAAAUCAAAUUAACAUGUCUUACAAUGACUUGUGUAUGUUCACUGAUGUUCAUCUUCCCUCGGAGUUUAAAAUGCCAAAGUUUAACUUGUAUGAUAGGGGCGGAGAUCCAGUAGCCCAUCAGAGGGGUUUUUGCAGUGAAAUGAGAAGUGUUGGCGGGAAAGAUGAUUUGUUGAUGGCAUAGUUCAGUGAGAGUUUAAGUAGGGCGGCCUUAGAAUGGUAUACUCUUCAAGAUGUCAAGAAAUGGCAUGCAUGGGGAUGACAUGGCUCAAGAUUUUGUUCGACACUUUCAGUACAAUCAUGACAUUAUCCCAGACCAGUCCUCCCUAUCUAAGAUGGAGAAGAAACCCGAGGAAAGUUUUAACGAAUUUGGGCUAGAUAGAGGGAACAAGCUGCUUGGGUCAGCCCCUUGGUUGGUGAAGAAGAAAUGGUUGAGCUUUUCCUACAAGCCCAGGGGCCCACCUACUUCAGUCAUAUGAUCUCGGCCUUGGGUAAACCUUCCAAUGAUGCGGUAAAAAUGGGGGAGGUGGUAGAGGAAGGAAUCAAGUCAGGCAAAAUCAUAAGUUAUUCUGCAUUGAAAGAUACUAUAGAAGACAUUUAGAACAUCUCAAUAAGUUUGGGUGGAAGAAAAAGAAAUAGAAAAGAUGUUGUUGACCCUCGCCAACUGCAGGAUCUAGUGGGCAUUCCUGCGCAAUGCUUUCAGCCUCAAUAUCGACCCCAUGGAUAUCCCUGUGCUCCAGAUAAUCCUCCCCAGUGAUACUUCUCUCCAUAAAAUCCCCAAAGUCAUACCUCACCUUCCCAGUACUCCAUCCACAAUGCACCACCAUAUGCUCCACAUCCACAAGACCAGCGAUGGCCUGCACCAUUUUCGCAAAUAUCUUACCCGCCUCCUCAAGCAUAUCAACCACCUACCAGCAUGAGGUUCUAACUGAGGCUAGAGUACAAAAUGAAAAGCCAACAAGAAAAAAGAAAAGACUUUCACUCAUAUUGGAGAAUCAUAUGCAUGUUUGAUCCAAAGGUUGAGGCAAUUGGACAUGUUGAAGCCGAUUCAUAUAAAAAUGCCGAACCCUCUUCCAAAGAAUCAUGAUUAUUCUCAAAGGUGCGCAUAUUGCUCUAAUGCCUCAGGUCACAGCAUAGAAAAGUGUUGGCAUCUGAAAAGAACAGUUCAGAAACUUAUUGAUGCAUGUGACAUUGUCGUGCAAAAUCCAUAUGCAGUAGACACUAGCCAAAGUCGAUCUCUGUUCAUAAUGAGAUGCAUAUGGUGGGUAUGAUUUGUGUUAAAAAGGAAUAUGAGAACUCUUUUGAGAUCCUUGGAGGGCCACUUGCCGCAAAGCUUUUAGCUCUAUCAGUCUCGCUUCCAGAAGUUAAUCUUAAAAAUGAGCUGGCAAAAGGGACCCAAAAGCAAUUUACUAAGUUCAAUUUGAUGGAUACUUGUGAAGGUCCUAGUACUGUUGAUGCGGAACUCAGUGGCUAAGAUGCUGAGCUUGAUGAUCGGAAAGACGCUCCUUUCUUGGCUAGCCAGGGAGGAGUCUCGGUGGUUUAUUUUGUUGUCAUUUCUGUUGUCCGGUUUAUUUCAGGGUUGUAAUCCGGAUAUUGUCUUGUGACUCAAACCCUUCUAUCCUUUUAAUUUUCCUAGUUCCUUUAGUCGUAGUAACUCAUUUAGUGUUAUCUAAGUUUGUUCCAGGGUUGUAACCCCAGUUUAGUUUGCUUGUUUUGUUGUUCGAACCCUUUCACCAUCUAUCUAAUGCAAUUUUCUAUUUUUUGUUAUUUCUAGUCAUUUUUUAGUUCUUUUUUCCCUUUUAUAGUUAUUUUCCUACUGACUUUAGUGACAUGAUAUGCACGCGUAAUUCUCAGCCUGGUCUUAAAAGUUAGUUUAGUUAUGAAGCAAUGAAACAAUAUUGAAAAUAGUAAGGAAAUUUGAGUGAAAUAAGUAAAGAUCUGGAUAUUUUGAGUUCAUUUAAAGCUCGAAUUGUGUGAAACUGGGGCGGAUAGUUUGGGAAGAUAAGAGGGCGACAAGAAUUUGUCACAACAACGUGCGUCUCAGACAAUUUGAAGCAAGCAACUUUGAGUUCAAGUGCGUCUCAAGUUACAACAUAUAGCCAAGGGAGUUUGCUCCAAACUGACAGAGCACAUCCAUCUUGAAGAAGAAAUCACCCAAGAAGAGAUGUGUACUUGACAAAGCACUAAAGAAUAGUGGAACCAAUGCCGAUGUUGCAGAAGAAAUGUUAUGCAUGAUCUUCAUUUUUCAUCUCUAAGUUGCAUUUGUUAUACUCGGUAUUCUUAGAGAUUGGGAGGCUCUCUUUCAGCUGUCCAAACACUUUAUACCCUUUGGUACCCAUUUGAGCCUAUGCUGAUUUCUUUGACCUUCCUUCUUUUGGAAUCAAGUUAAAGUCAUAAAAAAUAAAAAAUAAAAACUCAUGUCCCCACAGAUUGGUUUUAGAAAAUUCAUUCCAAAAGAAAAAAGAGAAAAAAGAAAAAAAAAGAGAAAAGAAAAAAGGGAAAAAAAGAAAAAAAAAAGAAAAGAAAAAGAGCAACAAAAAAACAAAACAAGAAUUAGUGUGAACUACGUUCAACCUAAUUCUUAUCACCACAAGAUUCAUACGCAGCCUUACGGAAUCAAAUUGGGGCAGUUUUUCUUAGAAUCAAAUUCUCUUAUUCUAGAAAUUGGGGCAAAGUGUUGAAAUGGAUUCCAAAAGUUGUAAAUAAAUUAACCUUGUUAUCUUAGUUAUUUUUAGCCUUUAUGAUAUCCUUUCUUUCUAACCCUGUCCAAAAGCCAAAUUACAGUCCCAAAAUGUCCUACCAGAUAAUCUUUGAGAGUGCUGAGUUUAGACAUGCCAAGAGCAUAUGAUAUUUUUACCAUGGUUAAUGCCUUGUCAUCUGCAGAAUAAGAGGAAAUAAGAAGAAAAGAACAAAAUGAGAGAGUCUUAUCGGUGAAAACCUUCACAGGCACCUUUAGGCGACAAAAAGUUGAGAGAAAGAAAAAAUGAGAGAGGCUUGAUGGUGAAAACCCUUCGGGCAACGCAAGUCGAAUAAGGAUCGUAAAUCAUAUAGGAUAAUCGGAGCAUUGAAGCCUAGUUUCGCGACUUAGAGGUACAACAAGAGUUGAAUAUUAGACUUGCUUGACAGAUUAGGCCACUUAAUCCAAAAAUGCAUGUCAUGAUCAUUAGAUUUGUAUCCACAUCUGAUAAGUUUCUACUUGGUGAUUUUUUUGUUAGGAAUUAUCUCAUUCCAUUGUCUUUUACUUUGUUCCUUUUGUCUUUUUUACUUCCUCUUCCCGAGUCGGUUUGGUCAGAAUAAGUGAGAAAUGUUCUACCAGCUUUCCAAUUGCACAAAAUGGGGUCUGGCUAGUACAUCAAAGUGGUAUAAGUCAAGAAAGAGCAGUAUGUGCACUGAGUUGGUGAUGUUUGGCGUGCUUUGGGAUUCAUGUGAAAUACAAAGGUUGUGAUAAGGAUGACAGAGAAAGUGGUUAGUCAACAAACAAGAAAGGUCUUUCAAGUUGAAAUCAAAUUUAUCAUGGCAAGUGAAGGAGCAAUCUCCCUCAAAGUCAAGGCCACAAACCAACCACCAUGUUUAAAAUCACAAGUUUUCUUUGUUUGAAAUAGGGACGAAGACUAUGUCGAAAUCAAAGCUUGGAAGCUUGAAUUUUUAAGUGCAGUGCACAAAUUUUGUCAGCACAAAGGUUGUUUGAGAAGGUUUUAAUCUCCUACAUAUUUGCCUAGUUUAGAUGACCAUUACCUCCUAGGCAUUUUCCCUAGUUGAGAAGAACUGUACCUCCUAGGCAUUCUCCUUAGUCAAAAGAGUUUUUAGCAUUCCUUGAGUUCAGGGGUCCUGCCUGGAGAAUAGGGUCAGUUUUUUAGUUCCCUUAAGUUGUUAGUCGUAGUUUUCCUUAAGUUCAGGGGGUCCCACCUGGAGAAUAGUAUCAAUUUUAGUUUUCUUAAGUUGUUAAUCUUUAGCUUUCCUUAAGUCCAGGAGCCCCGCUUGGAGAAUAGGGUCAUUUUUAAUUUUCUUAAGUGGUUAGUCUUUAGUUUCUCUUAAAGUUUAGGGGUCCCACAUGUGGAAUAGGGUGAAUUGUUAGUUUCCUUAAGAUUUCGAUAUCUAGUUUCUCUUAAAGUUCAGGGGUCCUACCUGGAGAAUACGGUCAGUUGUUAGUUUCCUUAAGUUUUCAAUCUCUAGUUUUUCUUGAGUUCAGGGUCCUGCCUUAAGAAUAGGGGCAAUUUUUAGUUUAGUCAAGCUUAGCUUGUAGUUUUCCUUAAGCUCAAUCAUACAGGAGACGCAUAUCCUAGUCGAGUUUUUAGUUUUACAAUUAUCAUUGCAUCCUUCAUCAAUUGCAUAGGUGAUUUACAAUUUUGCUAACAACUCACAAAUCUUCCAAGUGCCAAACAGGGGUAGAAAAUUUUGUUUGUUUUGUUGUUUUUGAUUGCAGGCACCCACCUGGAGAACAAGGGGAAUGUUUCAGAAAUUGGUUUUAGGUUCAAAUCAGAGAAAUAUCAGGGCCCCACCUGAAGAAUAGGGUCAACUUUCAAUUUCAAGUUAGAGAGGCAUUAGGAUCCUACUAGAACAACAUGUUCAGUUUGCAAUUUCAAGUUCAAGAGGCAUGAGGAUAAUCCCUCCUGAGGAACAGGGUCAACUUUCAGUUUACAAUUCCAAGUUCAAGAGGCAUCAGGAGAAUCCCGCCUAAAGAACAGGGUCAACUUUCAGUUUUCAAGUUCAAGUCAGGGGCAUAAGGAGAAUCUGCCUAAAGAACAGGGGCAACUUUCAGUUUUCAAGAAUCAAGUCAAAGACAGCAGAAUCACACAUGGAGAAUAGGGGCAAUUUUUAAUUCAAUCAGAAGUAGCACGAACCGCCUGAUGAACAAGGUUUUCAAGCUCAAGUCUACUCCAAGUUCAAAUUUAUUUCAUGUGCAAGCAAUAGGAUGCCCGGCUGAAGAACAGGGCCAACUUCCAGUUUUCUUCAAAUUCAAGUCGGCAGGAUGCCCACCUGAAGAAUUGGGUGAAUUUUCAGUUUCAUGAUGAAUGAGAAAGAGGAGAUUCAAGGAAGAUUCAAGACAAGAAGUAGAUAGGAUCUUGUAUUUUUCUUUUAUAUUUUGCUGUAAUUUUUCCUUUUAUUUUUAUGUAAUGGCAGGAACCACGGACCGGAACCUCGACGACACCUCAAUCGGCUAUCCACCUCGGUACUUCAACACAAUUCCUACUUCUAAACUACACGUGGUCUGAUUUAUUUAUAGCCAAGGAUAUGUAGGCAGCUCAGAUACUAGGGCUCGGUCACAUUCUCCUUUCUUUUAGUUUUUGGUCUCUCUAAAUAAGGGUCGGGUCAAAAACUUGUCUAGUCGUUCUUUGUCUGAAAAUACUUCGUGUUUCUAGUCAAAGUGGGGCAGCUAUAGACAUGUAAUUUUGACCCUCUCCAAGAUUUUACAUAUUUUUGUAUUUAAAUAUUUAGUUUAGGUCUAAUAUCGUUAUUUCAAUUAGUUUUUGACUCUUUUACUUUAUUUGUCACAAAAAUGAAAAUUAUAAUUUUAUUUAGGUAAUUGAUAUUUUAUCAUGUUACUUUUAGUUUAUUUACCUUUCAUAAAAUUUAAAAAUUCAAAAAAAAAAUAGUUUUAUUUGUUACCUCAAUGUGUUAUUUUAGUAUUUUUGUAUUAUAAUUAUUUAGUUAACUAGCAUGAAUUAGUAAUAGUUGUAUUUUAAUUUGUUCUUUAGAAUAGAAGGAGAAACCAAAUUAAUUUUAAGCGUGACAUGGUAUUGAUUUUAAAAUCAAAAGAAGGUCCAAGAGAGGGCCAUUCUUAGACAAAAGUUGGCCAAAAGAUUUGGCCAAGCCCAAUUUCGUUCUUCUCCAACCCAUAAGCCCAUACCCCCAACCUAAAGACCCCUUCGUCUCCACAUUCAAAGAAAAACCUAGAAUCCCUAUCUAAAAAAAUGAUGAGCAGAUAUUUGUGACCGAGAGGAACCCCCCCCCCCCCCCCCACAUCGUUCUUUUUCAAAACGAACACCGAUCAGCACCUUCUCUCGGGGAUCUUCAGAAGACCGUUCGAACAUCUCGUGAACACACAGCGUUUUUGGACCUUCUUCCCCAUCAAGACCACCCAAAAUUCCUCCAUUUUCUAAUUGAGCCGUUUUCAUUUGCUCCACAGCAGCUAACGCAACACACCGUCAAACACACCGGUACACACACGAAAACAAAGAGGAGGAGAACGGAUGUGAAAACAGGGCAAAAGAUACAUACCAAAAAUGGAGAAAGAAGCAACGAUAAGAACGAGCCUUCUCUAUCCUUAACCUAGAGCAUCCGCCAGCUCCUCUACAGGCCACCAUUGCCACCACACCGAACCCAGCCUCACCACUGAAAAAUGGAAUCAGUUCUAUUUAGUUUUAGUUUCAUUUCAAAAAUCAAAAAUAAUAAAAAAAACAAGUUUCUACUUCUGAAUAUUGUUUGAAAUAGGAUAAAGCCGAGGAGGUGUUCAAAUUUUGGGGUUGUCGUGUAUUCGUUCCGACCUAAGUGCGUCAAUUGUUUCCAGUCAAUUUUGAGUUGUUGGCAUUUGAUGUUGUCGUAAACAAAUUGGAGUCUUCAUCUAAUACAAGGUUUUUAUUUUUUUCCUCUUUUCCUGGUUCUAUGAUACUUGCUGAAAUUUUAUUUGCAUUAUGAUUUUAAUUAGAUGAUAUUCUUGUUUUUUAUGUGAUGGCAAAUGUGUUUAAAAUCAGGAACCUGUUCAAUAGUUUUAUGAACCUGAUGUCAUAUAUUAGUGAUAAUAGACGGGAUAUUGUUAUUUCUUUGAUUUGUAUAAACAAGU
rnacentral:lncRNA from 1 species